AUUGCAAAUUUAGCAAUCAGUGAAGAGAAUUUCAACUCAACAAAAACACAAUUGAUUGCAGUUAAACAAAUUGGAAACAAACCACGAUUGUGGAAUAUAGGUAGGCAAGCCAAGAAAUCACACGAGAUAUACCACAGGUUGGCGAAAGAGAAGAGAUCGCAAAAUAUUUUUGAGGUUGUGAAGAUUAUAAUAUUGCAAAAUCGUUUUUGAGGUCCGUACAAGAAGAUCUGAGAAAGUGAUGAUCGAAGAAUAGGUUUGGAAUGUAAAAAGAGAUGAACAAAGAAGAGGUUCAAUCUCAAAGUCACUUCAAUGAAGAAGAGUUUAAG
rnacentral:lncRNA from 1 species